UUCAAUACGUGUCAAGUGUUCGAGUAGUGAGGACGUUGCUCUUGCGUUUCACUAAUUACUGCUUCAACUAUACAUCCAGAUAUUCCUGUCGCUUAGUUUUUUUGUGUUUCAUAAAGUUUGUGACGAUUUUGUAAAACAUAGCUUGCAUACGGGAUACAGGAAAUUACUAUAUAUGAUAUCGAGUGCGGCAGUAUUUAAACUGCGCAUUCAACAAUCAUGUAAAUAUUGAGUAUAGAAUAGUAAAGUAAUUGAACGCGGAUACGUCGAUUAGUCUGAAAUUUAAACCGCACAACCGCAACGUCUUUUGAUCAAGUCAAUCUGAGGAUUCAACGAUUACUCAUCCGACGAGUUGCAGUAUCAGUUAUACCAGGUUUACAGAAGCCCGCGGUUCGAACGCUACGGUCACGUGGAAGCCCCGUCUUAUCGACCGUUGGUUUUGGCCGCGAUGAUUGGCUCAGCUUAAGUCACGUGACACUUGACGUAAGGAACCUGCCGUCUGCUCAGCCGUCGGAGCGAGCGUCUGCCUGUUAUAUCAAGUUGUCACAGAGAACGAGCCAUCGCUGGCCGUCGAGGGAACAAAGGAGGAUCGCCGUUGCUUCAUACGGCGAUACACGACGUCGGAUUCUGGACGAGUUUUUUAAUCGACACACACAGGCAUCGAGCGAACACCCACACAGCAUCAAAAAGACCUUUUUAAAGGUCGCAAAAACAACCCAAUAUGUACAGCAUGAACUACAUUGGAAAGUUCAUCAGCAACUUUAGGGACUUUUACAAUGAAAUAAACGCUGCUACUCUAACGGGUGCCAUUGACGUGGUCGUUGUCGAACAGCCUGAUGGAUCUUUUGCCUGUUCACCUUUUCACGUCAGAUUUGGAAAACUAUGUGUCCUUCGAUCGAGGGAGAAAGUGGUUGAUAUCGAAAUAAAUGGAGAACCACGUCAAAUUCACAUGAAGUUGGGUGAUUCUGGGGAAGCUUUUUUCGUUGAAGAAGUUGGCUGCGGAGGUUCACCAACUGACACAGAAAUUCCACCGCAUCUUGCAUGCUCUCCAAUUCCACACGACAGUUGUUUUCCACAGCAAAGGGAGAGUGGAACUUUGUUUCUCAGGUUCAACCUGCUCUCGGAACUUCCGCAAGAACAACGUGAGAAGCUACUUAGAGAUUCGGUGCUGUCAAUAGAGCGUGAGAAAUGGGAGGAAAUGUCAGCGCUGCCGUCAGACGAGCGUGAGAAAUUUCUUGUAGAACAGUUUUCGGAUCUCCCAAUAGAGCACCGUGAAAAAUGGCUUCAAAUAGCGUCAAUGACUACAGAGGAACGUGACAAAAUAUUUCGCGAAAAUUUCGGUGUUAUAUCUACCGAACAAAAGCAGAAAAUGAUACGCGAGCAAUACUCUGCACUUAAGACUGAGGACAGAGAAAGACUGUUUAAAGAAAAUUUUCCAGAACUGCCGGUAGAGCAAAGACAGAAGUUCGAAUUUGCUUUGCUCAGUGAUUGGAAAGGCAAAGAGGAAGAAAAGUGGGAUGAUAAUCAGAUUGACUCUAAGCACGAUGACGAGGAGAUAUUCAAUAUGGAUAAUAUCAAUGGAGAGGAACCAAACCCUGCCUCGGCUGUAGCACCUGUGAAAACCUUCAACGCUGUUGCUUCUAAUACAAGAAUUCGUAAAAUAAGCAUUGUGCAUAAUGAAUUCCGGCCAAUAACGGAUGAUCCUCAAAGCAGUUCCAAGGAAAAGUCUAGUGAUGAAUCAAACGUUUCUUUAUCCAAGAAAAAUUCCAAGGAUGAAACUAUUGAGGAAACCAAAGGUAGCAAUGGGUCCAAGAGAAAACGCAAGAGGAGAAGCAUUAUGAAGAAGAAAGGAGUGCAAAGAAAAACUAGUAAUGGAAGCAGUAGUCAGACUGAAAUGAGCGAAAAUGACGUCGUAGCUGCCGACGAAUCUCAGAGUGAACCUAUAUUAAAGGGCCCGAGUCCGGUUGUCGAAGUCGAAACCAAUAACGCUUCAGCUGAACCUACGGAAACACACUUGUCAUCCUUGUCGCAAGAAAUUACAGUCCCGCGUCAAGAAUCAGAUUUUCAUUUCUUCAGUGACACAGAAAUCACAAAAAAUCGGGAGUCUCGGCCUCGUUCUCCAGUUCAGUCUGAUACAGAAUUUGAAAUGCGUAAGCUCACUGAAGAUAGAGCUGAAAUUGAGGAUGAGAAGACGCAUCAGCAGAGCUGGAGAUGGGGAGAAUUGCCAAGCCCUCCUCCCGACUCUUCUCUACCAUCGCAUAGGACCUCAUUGAAUACUUCGACAGUAGCCAAUCAGCCUACUGACUUCGACGCCCAUCAAUCGAUUUUGAGUCGUACAUUGGCCUACAUGAAGCGGACCAAUUCUCGCUUUGUACGUAAUCCAGAAUCAGAUGGAAUAUAUUUGAGCGAUCUGAAUGCAGACGAACUUGACCCCGAAGUUGCUGCUCUUUAUUUGCCAACGUCUCAUCACAGGGCAACUAUUGCUAAAGGUGGAAAAAGUCUGGAUGAAGAAGACGCAGAAUCUGGAAAUGGUCCAAGUCUACCUCAGAGUCCAAACAGCGUUGAAGGAGCCAUCGGCGGCCCUAAAUCGCUGGACAGUGAUUUUGAAGAGCCAAAACAUUCCCUAUUCGAUAGCAAUGCUGACGUCACGUUGUCUCUUUGUGGUGGUUUAGAUUCCAAGGAUGGACCAUCUGAGGAAACAUUCCAUCAAAACUUGCUUCACUUUGAAGAUGUCUGUAGUGAUCCAAAACUAUUCGAAAAUCCAAGUUUGGUCAUAAAAAUUAACGGAAAGUUUUAUAACUGGGCUAUGGCCUGUCCCAUCCUCAUGACCUUGGCUGCUUUUCAAAGGCACUUGCCCCAGAGUGCCGUAGAGAAUUUAUGCGCUCGUUACAUGCUGACUCCAGUUCACGAGGACGCGAAACAGCAAAGUGGACGCAAAACUGAGGGUCGUACUGGUUACAGCUCUUGGUUUUCAUGGAGUCGCUCCAGUCAGCCAUCUAAAAAACAAAAGGAUUUAUCAGAAGUUGAUGGCCCAAUAAUCGGCCAAACUCAACAACAGCUUAUUGGAGUUAAAGAAGCUUCCCUGUCGGAGAGUGUGCCAUCAGUUAGCAUCAGAAUAGACCAAAAAGAGGAAGAAAUAAUCGAUAUGCACUUGGGAACUGAGGCCGUAGCUCAGACUAGUUUCCCAAAUACGCCGGAAGAAUCACUCCUUGACAAAGGAGAAAAGACACAUGGUGAGCAAGAGGGAGAAGGUUACAGUGGCAGUGAGGACUCUGACAGCAAUCGCAACGAACCUCAAGGAGUCAAAAUACCAAUAGAAAGAAGACCUUACUAUGAAUCCACCGAGAAAUACAGAAAGACUCUGCGGCUUUCCUCAGAACAAAUUGCCAGUUUGGGUUUGAAGGAUGGUGCAAACGAGGUAGUGUUCAGCGUGACAACCGCUUAUCAGGGUACAACCCGAUGUAGAUGUCACAUUUACAAAUGGCGUUGGGAUGACAAAAUCGUUAUAUCUGACAUAGAUGGUACAAUAACGAAAUCUGACGUGCUAGGGCACAUUCUACCGAUUGUUGGUAAAGACUGGGCGCAAUCAGGUGUUGCUCAGCUAUUCACCAAGAUUAAAAAUAAUGGAUACAAGCUAUUGUAUCUCUCUGCUAGAGCUAUUGGCCAGGCUAGGCUCACCAGAGAAUAUUUGAAGAGUAUAAAACAGGGAGAUUUGUCUCUGCCUGAAGGACCUUUGCUACUUAAUCCUACGAGCUUGCUAUCAGCAUUUCAUCGAGAAGUUAUCGAGAAAAAACCAGAACAGUUUAAAAUAUCUUGCCUCAGCGAUAUUCAAGCCUUGUUUCCAGAAGACACCAAGCCUUUCUAUGCUGGAUAUGGAAAUCGUAUAAACGAUGUUUGGGCAUACAGAGCAGUGGGCAUUCCCAUAGUAAGAAUAUUCACGAUCAAUCAUCGCGGAGAAUUGAAGCACGAGCUGACGCAGACAUUCCAAUCCUCUUACACGUGUCAGAGCGGAGUGGUCAAUGACUUGUUCCCGCCAUUGCAAUACCACUGCACUUCUACAGAUGACAACGCUACGAUAGAUAGUUAAUCAAUAAAAAAGUCCUUCACAAGUCAAUGAAUCCUAGUCAAAUUUUGCGACGACUUUAUCAACUUGCCUUAUUAUUUGUCAAAAUAAUGUAAUCAAUAGUGGUCGUUUUACGAAUUUUCCCAGUAUAUACUAAAAUCCAGCUCAGCUAGUCUUUCGUACAAAAUGAUAUUACAUGCCUAUGCUGGAGUAGACUUCAGCCUGGUACUGAUAUCGAAUCAGAUCAAAAGUAUAUGCACAGUAUAGAUGUACAUACAUACAUAGAGGUUUACAAAUGCUUGAGAAUGUACAAAGAGAAGUUAAUCAAAUUUUGGUUUUAGUAGUAUUAUCAUGCCAGUUUCAUUAUCAUUUUCUUAGUUACAUUUAGUAAUUACAUUAUAUGUAUAUUUCAUCAUACAAGUUUUGGUAGCUGUUUACCGCAAGGCAACUUCUAAAAUAUGAUCUUUUCGAUCCCUCAAUUUUUUAAAGAAAAGAUGUAUUUUUAUAUCGUGACAGCUGGACUGUUGACCAUAUAUUUUUUAUAAUAUUUUUUAUUUAUUGUCGAAAACCGAUGACGUAUUUGGUUGUACAUCUGCUUGCUACUUCUCUACUUAUGAUGUAUAGGAUACUCGAACAUGAGCUAUAUUGUAGAUCAUCUAUUUCCCCCCCUGCCUGAAGAUGCAACUGACGAAUUUAGCAAUUUUGCUUACUGGCGAGAGCCAAUUCCUGAGUUGCCGGAUCUAGAAGUACUAAGCACUGAGAC
rnacentral:misc_RNA from 1 species